rnacentral:rRNA from 1 species
CCCCUAGACGUUCUGGGCUGCACGCGCGCUACAAUAAUACGCACAGCGAGUAUCACCGAGCUCGAAAGGGCAAGGUAAACAAUAGAAAAGGUACUGUAAUGGUUAUAGAUCCUUGUAAUUAUUGAUCUUCAACGAGGAAUUCCUAGUAAGUAUGUGUCAUCAUCACGCACUGAUUACGUCCCUGCCCUUUGUACACACCGCCCGUCGCUCCUACCGAUUGGGUGAGCCGAUGAAACUCUCGGAUGUAGGCUAUUCAUAGCCCGCAGAAGAGAUUUGAAUCGUAGCGCUUAGAGGAAGGAGAAGGCGUAACA